CUGAUGAUAUAGUUCACGCUAAAUGCACGCUCCACUUUUCAAUUCCAUCACGGGGACCAGGAGCAGUCAGACACACACACACACACACACACAUUUACAAGUGAUGGAAAUGUUUGUUAACAAAAGUGAGUUCAGAUCAGCUGAACCUCUGAUGUGAAAAACACAAUUUGUCAAACAUUCCUUUAAAUAACAUAUUAUGUACCAUUAAUGUCAUGACAGGUUUAUUAACUGUGGACUGUCAGAGACUCACUGUGAAGUCAUGGCCUCAGCUCUGAAGUCCAACCCCUCCCAUCUGAGAGAGCUGGACCUGAGCCUCAACGAUCUGCAGGAUUCAGGAGUGAAGCUGCUGUGUGCUGGACUGCAGAGUAGUCUGUAGACUGGAGACUCUGAAUUUGUGGAGCUGCAGUUUGUCAGAGAUCAGCUGUUCUUCUCUGGCCUCAGCUCUGAAGUCCAACCCCUCCCAUCUGAGAGAUCUGGACCUGGGUGACAACAAGCUGCAGGAUUCAGGAGUGAAGCUGCUGUGUGAUUUUCUGCAGAGUCCAAACUGUAGACUGGAGGCUCUGUUGUGAGUACAGGGUUGGGUUUAGUCCAUCCUGGUCUCUACAGGGUUUCACUAAACACAGUUCAGGAUUCGUACAGUCAUUAAAAACCUUGAAAUGUUUUGGAAUUUGAAAAUACAAUAUUUCCAGUCAAAAAGCA